AUUGAACGCUGGCGGCAGGCCUAACACAUGCAAGUCGAGCGAGCGGCGGACGGGUGAGUAUUGUCUGGGAAACUGCCUGAUAGAGGGGGAUAACUCCUGUAAACGGUAUCUAAUACCGCAUACCAUCAGAUGUGCCCAGAUGGGAUUGGCUAGUAUGGGGGGUAACGGCUCACCUAGGCGACGAUCCCUAGCUGGUCUGAGAGGAUGACCAGCCACACUGGAACUGAGACACGGUCCAGACUCCUACGGGAGGCAGCAGUGGGGAAUAUGGCACAAUGGGCGCAAGCCUGAUGCAGCCAUGCCGCGUGUGUGAAGAAGGCCUUCGGGUUGUAAAGCACUUUCAGCGGGGAGGCGUUACCCGCAGAAGAAGCACCGGCUAACUCCGUGCCAGCAGCCGCGGUAAUAC
rnacentral:rRNA from 1 species